rnacentral:rRNA from 1 species
UGCGUAGGUGGCAAGCGUUGUCCGGAUUUACUGGGCGUAAAGAGCGCGCAGGCGGUCGGAUAAGUCGAAUGUGAAAGCCCCCGGCUCAACUGGGGAGGGUCAUUCGAUACUGUUCGACUCGAAGGCAGGAGAGGGAAGUGGAAUUCCCGGUGUAGUGGUGAAAUGCGUAGAUAUCGGGAGGAACACCAGUGGCGAAGGCGACUUCCUGGCCUGUUCUUGACGCUGAGGCGCGAAAGCUAGGGGAGCAAACUGG